AUGGUUCCGGUUCGAGCCGGACUGGCCACCUACAAGGGUGGGAAGCAGGCGGAGAGCGCCCCCAAUCCCUCCAAAGGAGAGCGGGUGUGCUUCGUCCCCUACUUAAUAAGGGGACUCAGAUUUCCUAUAUAUCCAUUUCUCCGGGGGCUCUUGGAGUUCUACGGACUCCAGCUUCAUCAUCUUACACCUGCCUCCAUUUUGCACAUCGCGGGCUUCAUAGCUCUGUGUGAGCUGUUCUUGGGCAUUGAGCCCCAUUUUGCGCUGUGGAAGAGGCUGUUUUGCCUCGUACCCCGCUCUCACGAGGGGUCGAUAUAUCAAGUGGGCGGAGCCGAAAUAUGGCGCAUCGCCGGGACCGGAUACCUGUCCGGGACCCCGAAGAAGGCGUCCGAAGACUGGCCUUCGGAGUGGUUUUAUAUGGAGGAUGCUCCGCUGCCGGAUCCAGUCCGAAUCGGCCUUCCGGAGUUCAGCAAUGCUCCACUGAAGAAAUGCCUGAGUUGGCGCCCACGGAGCCCUCAACGAGAAGAUGAUAGGAGCGUCCAUUACUUGAUGGGCCGGAUACGGCUGCUAGCCCAUUCCGGAUUAACCAUGAUCGGAGUCAUGGCCACAUGCAUUAUGCGCGGGGUGCAGCCGCUCCAAUAUAGGGGCUACCCCAUGUGGGACUUCAAUGGAGACGAUGACGCCACCCGUCACGGCCGCAAGGGACCUGGCUCAGCCAACGACCUGGUGAAGAUCCUGUCCGGCUUGUACAAGGGGGAGAAGGAGGACUUCCUCCGCACGAAUCCUCUGAACGGGUUUUCCAUGAACAACCCUCGGAGCUGGGUAAGCGGUCGCAUGCAUAUCUGA
rnacentral:rRNA from 1 species